rnacentral:rRNA from 1 species
UACGAAGGGGGCUAGCGUUGUUCGGAUUUACUGGGCGUAAAGCGCACGUAGGCGGUUUGUUAAGUCAGGGGUGAAAUCCCGGAGCUCAACUCCGGAACUGCCUUUGAUACUGGCAAGCUAGAGUCCGGAAGAGGUAAGUGGAACUCCUAGUGUAGAGGUGGAAUUCGUAGAUAUUAGGAAGAACACCAGUGGCGAAAGGCGGCUUACUGGUCCGGAACUGACGCUGAGGUGCGAAAGCGUGGGGAGCAAACAGG